UAAGGAAUAUUGGUCAAUGGGCGCAAGCCUGAACCAGCCAUGCCGCGUGCAGGAAGACGGCCCUCUGGGUUGUAAACUGCUUUUAUUCGGGAAUAAACCUUUCUACGUGUAGGAAGCUGAAUGUACCGAAGGAAUAAGGAUCGGCUAACUCCGUG
rnacentral:rRNA from 1 species